UCCGAGUUUGACGAUAUAGACAAAAUAGUUUCCCAGUGAUCCAAGAGGCGUAAAAGUGGGAGAUGUUGUUAUCGUGGCUUAGGGAAGUUUACCUCGUAAUUGUUGGGCGAAAGAAAUGGUUAUUGAUGUUCAUGCUGGUCAUGUACUGGUGGUGAUAUUAGAACAGCAAAAAUAAAGACUUUCAACAGGAUUUAUCAAAGACCUGUCGUUGAACUAUGUAUUUAAAAUGUUUCUCAAUUUCAACUCCAAUAGUGGAGAAUGUUAGUACAUGAAUAUUAUAGUUUUACCAGGUAUAUUAUUGACUUCUGAGCCCUGGUCUAUUCCAUGCAUCAAUUACAUCUUCAAUUUCUUUUCGAGUACUUUUUAAAUACAUUCUAUAAUUUUCAUUGACUUUUACUGGGACUACUCACCAUUCACAAUAUGAAAGAAAUGAAUAAUUUAAUAUGACAAGUUACUACUAACCCAAAAUUUUCCUUUGAGAAAAACUUUCACCUUUUCUAGACCUGUUUAAAGUACUGCCUUAAUAAUCCUAUUUUUUUAGAUCUUGGACGGUAAAUAGUCUCAGAAAAGGUUAAUUAAAAUCCCUCAACAAAAAAUGACUACCUUCAAAUAUUCUCGUCUUUAAAUAUUUUAUUGUCCAUUAUAUCAAAAAUUUUCCAUCAAAAACUGAGCUAUAACCGAAUAUUCUUCUCAAACAAACUGUCAGCAUGGGGUAACAAUAGGAGUCAAUAAUUACUUUUUCGAUGUUCAAAUAGUUGACAACAGUAUUACAUAAAUAAAGACUUAGCUUGUUGAAUAACAAUCAACAUUAUCCUCACAUAUAUAAACUCUCUCAAAAGGCACCAUCAUCAGUAAUUCGCUAGAUAACGAAUAGUAUUCAAUCCCAGUAAUUCUUAUCUUCAACUACCAAAAUGAAAUACUUAUUAGCAUUUGUUUUUCUUGUCAUUGUUGUAGUGGCAAGGUGCCAAGAUGCAGGACAUGAACCAGUUGAAGAAAAACUGACGAAAGAACAAGUGAUUGAUAUAAUCAAUUCAAAACUUCCACCCGAUAAUGGAAUAUGUUUCAAUCCAAGAUGUAAGUUGAACUGUGUAGCAGAAGGUCAUAGAGCAGGAUAUUGCACAGCAAAUAUAUGCUCUUGCAUUCUGUAAUUUUUGCAUAAUGUUAUCUACUAUAACGAACGGAUAUCGAAACCCAACCGAAUUAUUUAGACUUAACUUUUUGAAAUAUAAUAAAUAAUAAAUUAUUUACUUGUUAA